rnacentral:lncRNA from 1 species
CCAGUCGAGGUCUCCACAGGGUUCACAGCGGUCCCAACAGUGUUGCUUCCAUUGUUCACAUCAUCAUUUCCAUGUGACGCCAUUUAACCUUAGAACACGCAACAAACAAUUUAGAAUAAUUAUAGAUUUGAGAUCAAGUUAUCUGUUCGAGAAAAAUAAACUGUAAAACCAAAACCACGCAAGCAUGAACUAAGAAACUUCUUGUAAACCAAUUAUUUUUUCUUUCGACCUUACUGAUUUAAACCUAAUAAAUUUACUGCACGUAAUUAAAUAGAUAGAUUGUCAGCCUUUUUUCCUAAAGGACAAAUUAAGUAAACAGCAAACAACUGGAGGUGAAAAAAAAAAGACGACAGGAAAAAAAAAACCGAUUCUCAAAAUUUCCCGAAAUGAGAAUUUCGAUUUAAGCUUGUAGGGAAAAAUUGGAGAAUCAGAAUAAAUCAACCAAAACCGAAGGCCCG